GGGUACUCGAGUGGCGAACGGGUGAGUAACACGUGGGUGAUCUGCCCUGCACUUCGGGAUAAGCCUGGGAAACUGGGUCUAAUACCGGAUAGGAGCCAUUUUUAGUGUGAUGGUUGGAAAGUUUUUUCGGUGUAGGAUGAGCUCGCGGCCUAUCAGCUUGUUGGUGGGGUAAUGGCCUACCAAGGCGGCGACGGGUAGCCGGCCUGAGAGGGUGGACGGCCACAUUGGGACUGAGAUACGGCCCAGACUCC
rnacentral:rRNA from 1 species